UACGUAGGGUGCGAGCGUUGUCCGGAAUUAUCGGGCGUAAAGGGCUCGUAGGCGGUUUGUCGCGUCGGGAGUGAAAACCAGGUGCUUAACACCUGGCUUGCUUUCGAUACGGGCAGACUAGAGGUAUGCAGGGGAGAACGGAAUUCCUGGUGUAGCGGUGAAAUGCGCAGAUAUCAGGAGGAACACCGGUGGCGAAGGCGGGUCUCUGGGCAGUAACUGACGCUGAGGAGCGAAAGCGUGGGGAGCGAACAGG
rnacentral:rRNA from 1 species